rnacentral:lncRNA from 1 species
GUGCACAAUAUGUACCCUAAAAACCACAAAAAUUUUAAAAAAAAAUUUGGAUAAAUUCGGUGCAAAAUUGAAAGAGUUUUGGAUUUCUAAAACUCUAUCUCAUAGAAUUCGAAAUCCAAACUUAUUCCUUUUUGAUUUGAUCCAAACCACCUUCCAUGUAAGAAAGAAGAGAGGAAACCUUUUGUGAACAUGGGAGAGACCUGGGAGAGGGCUUUUGUCACAUAAAAUAAGUGGAGAUUGGCAUUGAAUAAGAGAGAGGGC